rnacentral:lncRNA from 1 species
GGGCUAUAUGUCCCCUGAGUCUGAGCUCCAGCUCCGUUCUGCAUCAGGGGAGGGGUAGCCAGGACCAGAGGACCCUCUCAGCUGCAUGUGAGUCAGGAAAGCAAUCUGAUGGAAUCAGUUCACACUAAUGCACAGGUGACCAACAGAAGCAUCUAUCUGGCUUUGGACUAAAAAUAACCACAGUGACAAAAACAAACAAACAAAAAAAACUCUACCAGCUAUUCUAAAGACAUUUCUCCCUUCUCGAAGUAAUGUUUGGAAGUUUAAUAGAAAUGAAAACAUCUGGGAAUGAGAAGGAAGAUAGAUGUGGGCAAAGUCACAUCUACCUUCAAUUCAGUGGUUGUUCAGCGCUGACCCAUCUCGAAGCAGCCCAAAGCAUGCUUUUAUUUUAUUUGAUAGCAUAUAGUGCUUGGAAUUCUGAAUGUGUUGUCAUCACAGGAAAAUCUGGAUCCCACCUUCUCUUUAAAAACAGAAGGCUCUGGAAACAUUCACUACUGUUUGUUGCAAUGACUGGCUGGGUCUGAUCCCAACGGGUACCUGAGUUUGCAUCUAUUGUUAGCUUGCUAGCCUUCUUCUUCCUUCCUUGUCAAACAUUCCACGUUCUCCCUUUCCAAACCAGGUCUCUAAAACCUUCCUUUCAAUACCAUCAUCAUUUUUUGGAGUCCUGUUUUUUUUUUGUUUUUGUUUUUUUAAUUUUCUUACGGCCACACCUGCCGCAUGUGGAAGUUCCCAGGCUAGGGGUUGAAGAUUCUUAAGCCACAGAGUGAGGCCAGGAAUCGAACCUGCGUCCUCAUGGAUGCCAGUCAGAUUCGUUAACCACUGAGCCACAACGGAACUCCUGCAUGCACUUCUUAAUGUUUGAUUUCCAUCCUUUGUCGAUAUGAGAAUAUUCGCAAGCAUCUUACCAGCUUCCAAGAUGCAGGCUUGACAUGGAAAUGCUAGAACUUUGCUAUUUGAUGGGAAGAACCAACAUGAACCUCUUCCUCUCCACCCCCAUACAUAGAGUGUUUCUCUUCCCCAUUGAAAAAUUACCCUUUAAAAUUGACUAGUGACCAGUCACCCCCAUGCCUUCAUUAUACAAUGUCUGCCAAUUUCUUAAUAUCGCUUUUAUUAUUAAUAUCUAAUUUGUUUUUGUUUGAAUAUAGUUAUGUCCUUACAGUAAAUAGGAGCCUGAUGUUAUCAACUGAAGCGUAACUAUGCAAGUAACUUAAUAUUUAAAAUAAAUCUGUGCCUACCAACUAAGUCCCUCCACCAACUGUGAGUGUGAACUCUGCCCACCCAGGGCUCCCAUCCCAGAUGCUGGAAAACAUUGAUUUAAGAGAAAGUGUUGGGAGUUUAACCCCACACUCCCAGUCCAGGCAAACUAUUCCAUUUAGAACGGAUAAGCAAUGAGGUCCUACUGUAUAGCACAGGGAGCUAUAUCCAGUCCCUUGGGAUAGACCAUGAUGGAAGAUAAUAUGAGAAAAAGGAUGUAUAUGUAUGCAUGACUGGGUCACUUUCCUGUACAGCAGACAUUGGCACAACAUCGCAAAUCAACUACACUCGAAUAAAACAUAAAAAUAAAUUUAAAAAAGGAAGCAGUCCUGUUUCUAGAGAGCCAAAGUAGUUUCCCAUGACCCUCCAUCACUUAGGGUGUUAUCCCAUAUAUAUAUAUUUAUUUUUUUUUUUGCUUUUUUUUUUUUUUAAGGGCUGCACCUGCAGCAUAUGGAGUUUCCCAGCUAGGGGUCCAACUGGAGCUACAGCUGCUGGCUUAUGCCAGCACCACAUCGGGACCGGAUCUGAGCCGCAUCUGCAACCUACACCACAGCUCACAGCAAUGCCUGAUCCUUAACCCACAGAGCAAGGCCAGGGAUCGAACCACAUCCUCAUGGAUCCUAGUCAGCUUCAUUAAUCGCUGAGCCACGAAGGGAACCCCUGGAUCUUAUUCUAAAUAACGAAUUAGUUCAUGCAGGAGAAAUCUCAGAGCUACUCCUGGGAGUUUUUCCUCUCACCCUGUUGUCCCCUGUGACUUAGUGGAUAUUCCUGGGAUGCCCCAGCCAUGCAGCACACCUCCACCUCUCUUGUAACACCCUUGCUGCUUUCUCUUCCUUGAAGUUACCACAUGCUUCUUGUAAAUAGAGAAACUAUCGGGCAGAGAGGGUUGAUGGGGGCUUGCGGUCACAGUCUACUCAUCCCCCACGUUUGGAAUUUGUAAAUUCCCCCAUGCUCCCUGAGACCUCUCAGGAACAGCCUCUUGUCUUAUGUCCCUCUCACGGAAGGUCUAGCUCUUGUGUUCCUUCAUUCCUCCUUCCCUCCCUCCCUCUCUCCUUCUUUCUUUCCUUCCUUCCUUCAUCUCACCCUGCAUCCUCAUUGCUGACCCCCAGACUAUAGCACUCAUGGAAACACCAUUCUAUGCCGUGUCUUCGGAUGACUAGCACAUACACCCCAACCAGACCUCAGGUUGGACCCGUGAUCUGGAUGGUCACUUGGGGUGUUUAAUCUCUAAGUAUGUCAGGUUUUUUAAAUUUAGUUUUUAUUCAGGUACCGUUGAUUUACAAUGUUGUGCCCAUUUCUGAUGUACAGCAAAGUGGCCAGUACACACACACACACACACACACACACUCCUUUCUUAUAUUAUCUUCCAUCAUGUUCUAUCCCAAGAGAUUGGAUACAGUUCCCUUUGCUGCACAACCGGACCUCAUGCCUUAUCCAUUCCAAAUGGAAUACUUUGCAUCUAUUAAUCUCAAACUCCCCGUCCAUCCCGCUCCCUCCCUCCCCCUUGGUGACCACCAGUCUGUUCUCCAUGUCCAUGAGUUUGUUUCUUUUUUAUGGAUAGGUUCAUUUGUGCCCUGUUUUAGAUUCCAUGUGUAAGUGAGAUCAUAGGGUAUUUGCCUUUCUCUGUCUGGCUUAUUUCACUUAGUAGGAGACUCUCUAGUGGCGUCCAUGUUGCUGCAAAUGGUAUUAUUUCAUUCUUUUUUAUGCCUGAGUCGUAUUCCAUUGUAUAUAUGUACCACAUCAUCUUAAUCUAUUCAUCUAUGGACCUUUAGGUUGUUUCCAUGUCGUGGCUAUUGUGAAUAGGGCUGCCAUGAACGCAGGUGUACAUGUAUCUUUUUGAAUUAUAGUUUUGUCUGGAUAUACGUAAGCAUUUCAUUUUUAUACAUUCUAAAAAAGAAUGAGUCCAUUUGGGGUGUUCUCAGGUGCCUCAUGGAUCCCUGAGCUUUGGCCUUGACUGAAGUCCAAUUCCCUCUCUCCCUUGUUAAAGCAGGUGACCUAGAGCAGGUUGCUUCACCUCUUUCUACCUUGGUUUCCUCAACGGACUACCUGAAAAGGAGAUACCUGCCUUCUAGGAUUUUUACGCGUAUGCGUGAGAAAGUGUAAGAGAAAUUGCUUUGCAAUUUCUGAGGCUUUGUUCUGAUAGAAGGCGAGCAUUCUUUCUAAAUAUAGGAUGUUGGUAGUUUUAUCUAACUCUAUCACUGAGAACAUAACUCAGAAGGCUUUUGCCAUAUCCAUUUCAUUGUGUUGUUCAUAAAACUGUUUAUUUUCCCAGAUCAUACUUGUUUUCUCUCUCUCUUUGCUACUGCCUAAUUUCAUUAGCUGCCAUACAUAAAUGUAUUAUGUAAUUCUCCCAGGAUGUCAUUGACUGUUUCUAUUUUUCUGUAGUAUGACUUAAGUCCAUAAUACUUUUGACUAACUCUCCAAGAAUAUUACUGAGCAGUAGGUGAAGGAUACCCCUUUCCACUAACUCAAGCUCAGCACUUAAAUAUUUAAAUGACACAAAGCACUAGAAAAAAAACCGCAGGCAUGGAACUUUCCCACUGGCUUGAUGAAAUCCAAGAAACAAUUGGGAUAUUUGCUUAUAACACCUUUUUCUAUCCAAAAGAUUUAUGCAGCCUUUCAGAUAGGAAAAAAAAAAACAAUUAACGGAUAAUGUACAAUUAGCUAAUGCUUUUGAUUGCUUACUAUGUUCCAGGUACUAGUAUAAACUCUGCUUCUAUUCAGUUGUUUAAUCUUCACAACCACCUCAUAAAGGAGAUAUGAUUUUUGGUCCCUAUUUUCUGGUUGAGGAACCUGAAAUUCAGAAAACUUAACUGCCUUGCUCAGGGAUACACAAUAAGGAAGGAAUCCAACUGCAAAGUACACACACACACUGCUCUGUUUGCUUAAGAAACUCAUUUGUUCCUAAGCUCAGAGGCUAUAUACAUGUGCUGAAUGCCUGAGAAUGUGGGACCACUCCAUUCUGAAUUUGUUGCUGACUCUAACAGUUAGCCAAUCACAUCUCCUCUCUGGGACUCAGUUUUCUUAUGGUUGUGAUUUGGAGAGUUGGAUGAGAGCAUUGGUUUCUAAUCCACUUCAGGAAACUCAAGAAUCUGAGUAAGUGGUCCAGAGAGAGUGAUGGAGGCAGGAAAGGCAAUGCUGAGCAGGUGAAACUCUGGACCUUCAUUAACUGGUACGCUUAUGCUUACAUCUGGGAUGGAUGGGAGGAAGGAAGAAAGGAAGGAAGGACAAAGGGGAGGGAGGAAGGGAAAGGAAACAGACACACAACUGUUAUUAUACAAUCCAUUAUUAACUUAUUCCAAACUACUACUGCCCCACGGUUAUUCCCCGUGUAUGCCAUUAAACAAUCCUUGAAACGUGAUUUCAAAUGGCUAUGUAAUAUUGAAAUAUACAAAUACGUUACCCUUUACUUAACCAUUGCCCCAUUUGAGACAUGUGUGUGGCUUCUGAUUCUUUAUCAUUCAUUUAUUCACUCAAUUUGUAUUGGGAACUAUUAUUUGCAGGCGUUAACAUAACUAUAACACAGAUGUUCUUACACAUUCUUUUUGAUAUACGUACAUUUCACUUUCAUAGUUAUAUGAAAAUUGUUAUUUUGUGUUUCAUUUUUGAUUUUUGGCUUUCUUCCUUGAGGGAGAACCUGAUCUGAAAAGCCUGCUGAAUUUGGAGAAAAUGUUGAGAUGGAAUCUGUACAAAUGUUGAGCUUAGCUGACACAGGGAACACAAUUAGAGUUCUCGACACACUGUAUCCCAAGACUGUAGUUAUAAAUUAAUAGACAUUGUCUUGAUUGUGUGUGCCACCAGCAUCCAAAUCUAUUUUGCAAUCUGCAGGCUCAAAGGGACCAUCUUGAAGCUGUGGCUUUCCAUGUUGCCUAGUUUAGAGCUGGGUGAAGCCUCAGAGAAUACCAUCCCCUGGUCCUGGAGUGAAGAACUUGAGCCCCAGCUCCAGGGAUAGCAGAAGUCUCAUCUUCAGUCGUUCUCCUUGUAAAUAAUUGGGAGGAAACACACAACUGUGUCACUAUAUAAAGUGAAUAUAGCUGAGAUUAUAAGCUGCUUAUGUGUCACCCCUAAACGCAUGAUACAGACCCUCUCUAGUGGACAAGGCAACAUAAAGAGAAACCAAAAACGUCAUCCCUUGUCCAUAAAUGGAAAGCAGACAACUUCUCUUUGCAGAGGCAGAGGGACCACACAAGGUGGCAAUUUUGAAAUACCCCUUGGAGGCACAGUGCCACGUCCAAAGAGCAGCUUCAGAGAGCUGCAGUAUCCAGAGACCGAGCUGUGUUUGGCUUGGAUCUUCGUGUCAUGACACGGUGACAUUUUCCCCACACCCACUGCUGUUCCUCUCCUCCCCAGUGACUAUAUUUGAGCGAAGGUCAGUCUGUUUGGAGGCAGCUGGCUCGGGUUUUCCUACCAAGGGUUUGACUGUGUCUUAGGACAGACGAUGUCUAGAAAAUAGAAGACUCAGCCUCCAAAGAGCUUAGGCAUCUGUGAAGACUAAGAGAGACUCUGUGGGUAGAAAAUACCAUUAGCUUUCCUUCCCUUCUCUAUCGUCUGUCUUUUUAUCUCUUUCCCUGAUAGAGAGCAAAGGGUAGGGAAAUUUAAGUAAGAGCCUUCUCUCCUUGGCUGAUUUCUUUCUUUCUUUCUUUCUUUCUUUUUUAUUUCUCUGCUUCCUAAGGGAUCACUUAAUUCAUUUUAUGCCUCUGGAAAAGACCAGCAUUUUCUAAUACCUCCAAAUACCUGGGCAGGAUACCUCGCCCAACCUCAGCUCAUCAUUAUUCUGCGCUGAGUUAUGUAAUGAUUUGAUCCUGUUGAGGAGUAAUUCACCUUUGUUCCCACCUACGUUAAGACUGAUUACAAAUCCUCAUAAAAUACUCAUUAUGCUAACCAAAAAUGUCCUUAAGAAUAGUCUGUUUGAGAGGAGGUAAUGCUACCGCUUGGAAGUGUGGGCUUCUGUCUAAUUAUGUGUAAAUUAUCUGAGUGGAAUCUCAAAUGUUUAGUGAUAAACAGUUUUAUGCUUCCCAGCAAAGUAUCUAGUUUGUGAGGCAGUAUAAUCAAAAGCAGCUUGUGUGCAGUGAAUUGUAGAUUGUAUAACUUUGCAUCCUUUUCAAGUUAUUCUUAUGGAAAGAAGUGGGAAUGUGUCUGCAGCCCUUUAAGGAAAGCAAAUGCUAUAUUCUGCAAAUUUUUUUUUAAAGAGAGAAAAAAAAAUAAUUGAUCCUUUGACUAUACUACCAUUCUGCUCUCAGAAGAAACAUUAAAAAGUUGGAUUUCUUAAGAAAUGCAAUUAACUGACUUUUAUUUAAUGAUUUUUUUUCCUCAAGUAAUUCAUCCUGGAGGAAUGGUAUCUGUUGGUUAUUAACAAAGAUGAGGAUGGAUUAUUAAGAAGCAAAAUAUGAUACUCCACAGCAAUGCAUACAUAGUUACUCGGAGAAAAUCCCUUGUGGUUUGUUCUCAGCUAUCCCAUCCUUUCAAAAGCCUUUCCUGAGCGCCUUCCCCAUCUCUGGGUGGGAUGUUUAAACCUCCUCUGAGCCACCAGAAAGAUGCCAUUCUGUGAAUGAAGGGUAAUUGAACACCAGGAAAUUAGGAUGAGACCAUAAUAGUCAGUUAGCAAUCAUCACAACCCACAUAAUCUGGAUGGUCAUAAAAAAUACAAGUCUUCAAAUCUGAGAGGUCAUUAGUUCUUAGCCUUUGCACCAAGGUUCCUUAAACACCCAAGAAGCUUGAGAGAGGUCUGCCAGAGCAGGCACCACCAAAAAGUAUAGUCUUCAUACUUCCUUGGGCAAAGGAGAAUCAAGAUAUUAAAUACAUACAGCACAAGGACACCCUAUCCACUAUUGAGGACCUGGGGAUACUAGCUCAGAUGAAAUUGGUUUUGAUAAAAAAAAAAAAAAAAAAAAAAAAAAAAA